rnacentral:rRNA from 1 species
GACGAACGCUGGCGGCGUGCUUAACACAUGCAAGUCGAGCGACAGUGUUCUUCGGAACAUAUGGAGCGGCGAACGGGUGAGUAACACGUGGGCAACCUGCCCCUAGCUCUGGGACAACUCCGGGAAACCGGGGCUAAUACCGGAUACGAUCUUCCACGGCAUCUCGGGAGAUGGAAAGUUUUUCGGCUGGGGAUGGGCCCGCGGCCUAUCAGCUUGUUGGUGAGGUAACGGCCCACCAAGGCGACGACGGGUAGCCGGCCUGAGAGGGCGACCGGCCACACUGGGACUGAGACACGGCCCAGACUCCUACGGGAGGCAGCAGUGGGGAAUAUUGCGCAAUGGGCGAAAGCCUGACGCAGCGACGCCGCGUGAGGGAUGAAGGCCUUCGGGUUGUAAACCUCUUUCAGCAGGGACGAAGCGAAAGUGACGGUACCUGCAGAAGAAGCACCGGCCAACUACGUGCCAGCAGCCGCGGUAAUACGUAGGGUGCAAGCGUUGUCCGGAAUUAUUGGGCGUAAAGAGCUCGUAGGCGGUCUGUCGCGUCGGCUGUGAAAACUCGGGGCUCAACCCCGAGCCUGCAGUCGAUACGGGCAGACUAGAGUGCUGUAGGGGAGACUGGAAUUCCUGGUGUAGCGGUGAAAUGCGCAGAUAUCAGGAGGAACACCGGUGGCGAAGGCGGGUCUCUGGGCAGUAACUGACGCUGAGGAGCGAAAGCGUGGGAGCAAACAGGAUUAGAUACCCUGGUAGUCCACGCCGUAAACGGUGGGUGCUAGGUGUAGGUCGUAUUCCACGCGAUCUGUGCCGCAGCUAACGCAUUAAGCACCCCGCCUGGGGAGUACGGCCGCAAGGCUAAAACUCAAAGGAAUUGACGGGGGCCCGCACAAGCAGCGGAGCAUGUGGCUUAAUUCGACGCAACGCGAAGAACCUUACCAAGGCUUGACAUGCAGGGAAAUCUCACAGAGAUGUGAGGUCCGCAAGGGCCCUGCACAGGUGGUGCAUGGUUGUCGUCAGCUCGUGUCGUGAGAUGUUGGGUUAAGUCCCGCAACGAGCGCAACCCUCGUUCUAUGUUGCCAACGCGUCAUGGCGGGGACUCAUAGGAGACUGCCGGGGUCAACUCGGAGGAAGGUGGGGACGACGUCAAAUCAUCAUGCCCCUUAUGUCUUGGGCUGCACACAUGCUACAAUGGCCGAUACAAAGGGCUGCCAAGCCGCGAGGUGGAGCGAAUCCCAAAAAGUCGGUCUCAGUUCGGAUUGGGGUCUGCAACUCGACCCCAUGAAGUCGGAGUUGCUAGUAAUCGCAGAUCAGCAACGCUGCGGUGAAUACGUUCCCGGGCCUUGUACACACCGCCCGUCACGUCACGAAAGUCGGUAACACCCGAAGCCAGUGGCCCAACUCGCAAGAGAGGGAGCUGUCGAAGGUGGNAUCGGCGAUUGGGACGAAGU